rnacentral:sRNA from 1 species
CAGGGACGAGUGGGUUCCUACUCGAUAUC